rnacentral:rRNA from 1 species
UACGGGGGGGGCAAGCGUUGUUCGGAAUUACUGGGCGUAAAGGGCGCGUAGGCGGCCCGGUAAGUCAAAGGUGAAAUCCCUCGGCUCAACUGAGGAACUGCCUUUGAAACUGUCGGGCUUGAGGCCGGGAGGGGGUAGCGGAAUUCCCAGUGUAGCGGUGAAAUGCGUAGAUAUUGGGAGGAACACCAGUGGCGAAGGCGGCUACCUGGACCGGUUCUGACGCUGAUGCGCGAAAGCGUGGGUAGCAAACAGG